AUGGCGAGCCGAGCCGUCCGGAUAGCCACCUACAUGUCCCCGGAGGUGGGCGGCCUCCCGCCGGGCGUCGAGAACCUCUCCGCCGCCGGGCCCGACGCGUGGCUCAUCGAUGCCGCGGCCAUCGACGAGGCGCUGACGCGGCCCGCGCAGGAGGCGCUCGUCAGGGAGCUGUCCCCUGACGCCGUCUUCACCGACGUCCACUUCUUCUGGAACUCCAUACUCGCCGGCGAGCUCGGCGUGCCGUGCAUUACGUUCAGUGUCAUUGGACCCUUCUCGAACCUUGUGAUGCACCACCUCGGCGGCACAGUUACAGUCGACGGCGACUCGGAUUGCCAGGAGGUGAUUGUACCAGGUUUUCAGGCCCUGAGAUACGUAUCCCGAGGGCUGAGCUGCCGGAGAUCUUGA
rnacentral:rRNA from 1 species